rnacentral:rRNA from 1 species
GACGAACGCUGGCGGCGUGCCUAAUACAUGCAAGUCGAACGCAGUGGGGACGGGUGAGUAACACGUGGGUAACCUCCCAUCAGAGGGGAUAACACUUGGAAACAGGUGCUAAACCGAUACUGAUGGAUGGACCCGCGGUGCAUUAGCUAGUUGGUGAGGUAACGGCUCACCAAGGCCACGAUGCAUAGCCGGACUGAGAGGGUGGACGGGCAAACCUGUACUGGAACACGGCCCAAACUCCCAAGGGAGGGAGCAGGAGGGGAUCUUCGGCAAAGGACGAAAGGUUGACCGGGGAACGCCGGGUGGGUUAAGAAGGUUUUCGGAUUGGAAAACUCGGUUGUUAGGGAAGAGGGAUCUAACCAGAAAGCCAAGGGUAACUACGUGCCAGCCGCCGCGGUAAUAC